AAGAAAAGAAUCAGCCAUUUCCAUGGCUCUUUGGUGAACCAAAAAUAAACAACGCCACUCCCACGCCCAAAAGACUUCUGCUAAAUAAAAACUCAACACAUACCCACACGCAUUCUCUCCCUCUCUUAGUUAAUGCAACAUUUUGCUUAAUAUCCAUGAUAGACGAGAAGGGAAUUCCAAAUCUUGAACGUUCUCUCUCUUCCCCAUCAAAGAACGUUAUCGACGUUCCAAAGUGAAGCUCGUUAUUCUGUGGUUUACCGAGGAUUAGUUGAGGUUUCCGGUCGAGAGGUCCGUUGCCGUAGUCCUGUUAUUUCUGCCUUUAAGACCUGGAAAAUCGAGUAUUGAGGUCCGUUUCCUACUUUUUAAUCUCAAAUUCUGUCGAUUCCUGUAAUAAAUAAAUUUUGACGUUAAGGUUCUAUCAUGUUUUCUUGGAUGAAUUGUGAAUAUCAUCGUGUUUCAUUUUAGUAAUUUGACUCCAUCUUUGUGCUAAGUAAUUCAGUGAUAAGAUUGAUUUUAAGUUUAAGAAUUGAUAUGUUACUUGGAUAUGUUUAAUUGUCAUAGUAAAUCCUGCUUUGUUGUUGAUUUUAUUAGAAUAAGUGUUUGGAUAUUGAAUAAUGGUAUUAUUUUAAUACUAAGAGGGUUUAGGCUAAAUUCAUAAGUAUUAGUAUACCCUCCUUAACUUAUUUGUUUGGCCUUUAGAAAUUAGUUAAUUCACAUCAUUUUGCUACUGACAGUGAAAUAGAAAGGUUUAUUUUGUGAAUGCCAAAAUGCCAUUAAGCGAGACAUCCUUGAUCCUUCUGCCUUAGUUAUUGCAUUUGACCUGUUUCGUCAGGUUUGUUCAAAUCAGAUUUAAGAUACAUUAAUAUUUGUUUAUCUCAAAGAUUUUGAUCACCAAAAUAAAUACCUUAUAUGAAAAGGUCAUUAUUUAUUCAUUUAAUACGAAUUGCAGAAGGCAAAUAGGAUUAUCUUGACGUAUUAGUUCAAUACUCUUAGCCUUAUAGUCAAUGUCAUGAGUAGUAUAGAAAAUGUCUUGAACUCUUGUAGUGUAUUUUUGGCGCGUUUUAAUAAAUUUAUCAUGGCUACGGGUACGGUUUUCGUGACGUAGUAGUGAUACAUCCUUCCUAAAUUCGGGUGUGCAUUUAUGUGACCCAUAUCCAAAUCUCAACAACGUUAGUUAAAAUGUAUCGUGGACCGCAGGUGCAUUUAUGUGACGUGGUCCAAGACGUGUUUUAAAUAGCGUUGAAUCUUCUUAAAAAAUGUUUAAAAGAGGUUAAUAAAUUAAAAUCUAUCAUAGGCCAAAACAUGUGUUAAAAUCAGAUAAUAUGCCAAUAAUAACAGUUGAGCGACCGUGCUGAAAUCACAGAACUCGGGAAUGUCUAACACCUUUUUCCGGGUUAACAGAAUUCCUUACCCGGAUUUCUGUGUUCGCGGAUUGUAAUACAGAGUCAAUAUUUUCCUCAAUUCGGGAUUUGAACAGGUGACUUGGGAUACCAUAAAAUUAUCCCAAGUGGCGACUCUGAAUUUAAAUAAAAUAAUCCCGUUUCGAUUGUCACUUUAAGUUGGAAAAAACUCCCUUAUACACUCCUUCUCGGGGGUGUAGGUGAAAAAGGAGGUGUGACAACUCUAGCGACUCUGCUGGGGACAAGAACCUAAAACUUCUGGUUCAGGGUUCAAGAAUUCGAACUUAGAUGAAUUGUUAUAUUUGGCUUUAUUUAUUAUCUGAUUUUAUUACAUGUUUGGGCCUAAUGUGCUAAAUGUUGCUUUUACUGCUUUGAUAUUAUCUUAACUGUAUAUAUAAACUGCUACGAAAACCAUGUCUUCUCUCUCCUGAGAAGUGCAUGCUGGUCGUGAAUUCUUUCUAUUAGUGUCAUAUCCCAAAUAGAACGAGGUUCGGACAAGUUGCAAAGCCGGAUGAUCUUUUGGUUACCGGUACGCAGUCGCCCCCCCUCCGGCUCGAGUUGUCCGCUCGGGCAUGUCGGAUCCCUAGCAGGAACGCUUGUUUGCAUCAUAUGCAUUUGACUUUGGGGAUUCAACACAGGGGUUGGGUCUGUCUAGGACAGGUGUACCCAAAAUAAUAGACCAUCUUGACGCAUCAUAUGUGCUACAUGUUGUAUUUCUCCAAGGGUAAAAGGGUCAUUUGGCGGACCAAUGAUAGUUCAGGGCAAAUGAAAAAGAAAAGAGAGGAAAAAAAGAGAGGGUGAAGUGUGAAAAUAAAGCGAGUAGGGCCUAGUUAUGCUUUUUGUUACAUUUUUAUUAAGAAAAAAACAAAAAAAAGGAAAAGAAAAUCCAAAAGAUUUUGCAUGUUUCAUUAUUUUCAAGGAAAAGACAAAAAUAUGUUUUCUCUAAAUUAGGUGUUUUUUUUAAUUCUCGCCCGUAUCCAAUCUGCCCGAACUACGCAUAUCUGAUUUUCGUCUUUCGGGGCGUGAUACGUAGGCAACCCACAUAUGGUCCGGACUUCCUAGUAAAUCUUUGGUUCUUGGCUUCGCGGGGUCUUAGCCAAAUCUAGCAUUUUUAGUCACUUUUAGCCACAUAGGUUAAUUUUAGAAAAUGGUCACAACCAUGUCUUGCAUGUGUCUAGUAAGGAAUGUUUUUGUCUCACAUAGUGUUGGUUUAAGUUUUUUUAUACAGGUGUGGAUUUACUUACUAGAGUUUGAGCAUGACAGAUACCCUAGGAUCACUACAUUUAGGAGCUGCUCGAUGAGACAUUUUAUAUUUUUGAGUCAAUUGUUCAUGUUUUACUUUCUAGUCAUGUAUAGUAGUAUUUAGUCUUUUAAGUGAUGCUAGAGUUUGUAAUAGUCUAGUUAAGUUUGCCCAGUCUUUUGUUAUUGUAUUUCUUAUUUUGUAUUUGGAAAUAUGUUACAAGUCAAAAAAAAAAGAAAAAAGAAAAGAAAAGAAAUUUUGCAUUUU
rnacentral:lncRNA from 1 species